GUGUCAGCAGCCGCGGUAAUACGGAGGGUGCAAGCGUUGUCCGGAAUUAUUGGGCGUAAAGGGCACGCAGGCGGUUUCUUAAGUCUGAUGUGAAAUCUUGCGGCUCAACCGCAAGCUGCCAUUGGAAACUGGGGAACUUGAGUACAGAAGAGGAGAGUGGAAUUCCACGUGUAGCGGUGAAAUGCGUAGAGAUGUGGAGGAACACCAGUGGCGAAGGCGACUCUCUGGUCUGUAACUGACGCUGAGGUGCGAAAGCGUGGGUAGCAAACAGGAUUAGAAACCCCUGUAGUCC
rnacentral:rRNA from 1 species